UACAGAGGGUGCGAGCGUUAAUCGGAAUUACUGGGCGUAAAGCGUGCGUAGACGGUUAUUUAAGUCGGAUGUGAAAGCCCCGGGCUCAACCUGGGAAUUGCAUUCGAGACUGAAUAGCUAGGGUGCGGUAGAGGGAAGCGGAAUUUCCGGUGUAGCGGUGAAAUGCGUAGAUAUCGGAAGGAACAUCAGUGGCGAAAGCGGCUUCCUGGACCAGCACCGACGUUCAGGCACGAAAGCGUGGGGAGCAAACCAGG
rnacentral:rRNA from 1 species